GUCACUGCAAAGGAAGGUACCUGCAAUAUGAUGAAUCUCACUGCAGUAGCUGAGACAUACCUCAACAGUACCGUGGAAGGUGGCUGGAAAAGCUGGGGUCUAGAUGAAUCUUACGCCUAUUGGACCGGCCGUCACCUAACCAUUCCUGAGCGGCCAAUAAAAGGAAAAGUAGAUGGAUUUCAGCAAAACGAAACAUGCAAUCAGUCCCUCAGUGCCGGAAACAGGGUCUGUGAAGAAAGAUUCAUGUGGACCUUUACUAAUGGCAUAUGGAGUCCAUUUGAACUCUUAGUCAACGUCACAAUUAAACCGUUGGAAGGAAUGCCGGUCACUUUCGAGCUUGAUCUCAACAAUGCGAACUGGAUUCUGAAACCGCAACGACUGGGUUUGAAUGCUAUGAAAGUAGCGACAACUAA